rnacentral:lncRNA from 1 species
UUGAACUCGAGAUCCUCCUGCCUCAGCCUCCUGAGCCACUGGGAUCAGCCGCCGUCACACGUGGCUUGCUUGGUCCUCUAAAUCACUCUUUAGGUAGGUGGGCAUGACUCUGCCCCUUGUUUUCCAAGUACCAUUAUUCAGACCGUCGCCUUGCCGGGGUGAGUUGUGUUUGCGUGGACCCUGGACCAGCAGCCCAGCAGGGCAGACCUAAGUCAAAAUGUGUCUCUCUCUCCCGGGUGCCCUGGGUUUCGCUUCAACCAAAAUAAUUUUGAGAACCCUGUAUCCAGCAGAGGAGGGUUCACCGAGUCCCUUUGGCAAACAUUGGUGGCUUUUUGUUUUGUUUCUGAAGCAAGGAAUCAUGGAUACACACACACACACACACACACACACACACACGCACUUCAGUAAAAGACGGCAUUGGCUCUUACCACCAAUUUUCCAGGCUGUAAGUUCUAGCACUGUUUAUUGUCUUUGAACUAUUUUCUUUGUCAAUUGCAGGUAACUGGUACACAGCGUCUGUCUUCUUCAGUAGAGUUUGAACUGAUCCUAAAAAAAAUUAAAAAAUCCAACAGUCUUAUCCCCAUUUGUAAUUCAAUUUCUCUGCUGUGUAUGAACGUACACAUGCCCCCCACCCCUUUGAACCACUUAUAAUAUCUGCCGGGUGGUCUCAUUGAUUAAUGAGCAAAAUAAAAUCUUUAACAUGGGCUUCAUUUUUUUUUAUCAGAAUA